rnacentral:lncRNA from 1 species
GUAAAACAAUUACUAUACCUGUGUCACUACUCACUUGUAGUGCCUUCGCACCUCAUAGCAUCCUCAGGAGUAUGUUUGCUUUUUUUUUUUUGCAACUAAUUAUUUUUUCUUCCAAACAUUAUUACGAAUAUGUUGUUUUGACAUAAAAGUACGUUUUUUUUGGAACUGCAAUUCAAAAUUGUUAGAUGUAUAUUCAUUGAGCUAUUAGAAAGAAUGCGAAGGAUAAUUUAUUUUUAUAUACGACAAUUGGUUGGUUUGAUUUGCUUAAGAAUAUAAAAUCUAAUAAAUCUAAUGUUAGGACUAGUUGAAUAGAGCUAUAUGUGUAAGUCAUUUACUUCUGAAGUAUGCAAGUCAUUUACUAGCUGGAUAGUGUUAGGCUAGUUGGAGUGUGUUUUUUUGCUAGUAGUUUUGUAGGGUUUAAUUGCUGGAUUAUCUUUAAUAUCCUAUAUAUUGUUUUAGUUUUUAUUGACAAACAUUAGUGCCCAGCGGAAACCAAUUUUGCUAAACAAAAAGCUUUUAUUUUUAGCUAAUUUUUUUUUUAUUGCAGCUAAAUAUUAUUUUUUCUUCCAAAUAUUUCUAUGUAUAUGUUUUUUUAACAUAAAAGUACGUUUUUUUGGAACUACCAUUCAAAAUUGUUUGAUUUAUAAACAGUUAAGUGUUCUCUAAUUUGAUGCAUUGUGAUGAUUUGUGGAAUAAAUCUAAUUGUCUAGAUAGAUUUGACAUAAUGGAUGAACAUGAACAAAAAGUUGAAAAAUAUUUGAUGUUUUAUGUUAUCAAAUUUUAUUAUUUAAAGUGUUUUGUUUUAUUCAUAGACUAUUAAGUUUUAAUAUAUCUUUAUAACUAUUUAUUUAUGUUUUAGCUUAUGUUUAGAAAUUUUUAUAAUUGUUGGUUACAUAUGCAGUGGAGUAUUUUCUGAUUAGUUGCUUAAUGAUCUAUUUUGUUUAAACAAUAUUGAGACACAUUGUGAUCUGUUUCGUUUAAACAGUUUUGAGACAGUGGAUUAAGUGAACAAAUUGAAAUGUGAUAAAGAUUCUCAAAAUGAGAUAGUUAAGAUCUUUCAUGAAGAACUAGAGGCGUUUCGCAGGCAGAUGGCUUAUAAAAGUUGCUGGUGAAGAGAGUGGUGAUAGCUCAUCGACUUCUUCAUAUGAAACGAGUCUUGAAUGAAAGUAUAAAAAACUAUUUGUUAAUUGUUGACGUCAAUAAGAGAAAGUUGGUGAUGCACACCAAUGUAUAGGAGAUAUAGUUCAUACAUAUGAAAAGUUGAUCAAAAAGGUCAAGAAAGGGGAGAUUUCCCCGGACAUGACGGAUGUGUCCGAGCUAGAGAUCGAGAAAUUUUAGUGUGAGUUCUCCUCUAAAGCUUUGAAACUUGCUGAAGAGUUUGAAAAGCUAUCAGUUAGAGUAUCAACAUAUAGCAAGAUAGCUGAGGUAUGAUAUAUUUUCGUUUUAUGUUUUAAAUAAAUAAAAAAUUACACUACAUUUUAUGCCAAGAAUUGUGUUAAUUUAAUAAUUUUUUAAUUUCAGCACGGCGUAGAGGCUAGCCAAAUCAAUGUGCCUAUUCUAGCGAGCAUGCGAGAGCAAGAGAGGACGAGAACUUCAACCUGCCAAACUUUGAAAGAGUUUGAAGCAUAUAAAAAGUUCAUAUUGGAGAAAGUACAUGUAUAGUUUAUUGUGGGCUACUUGGUCAAACGUAACCGGCACUUGCAUGAGACUUCGUUUUCUAGAUUUUGCUUAAAAAUUUUGAACUUGGUAGAAUCUCAUGCACUAGUAAAACAAUUGCUAUACCAGUGCCACUGCUCACUUGUAGUGCUUUGCAUCUCAUAGCAUCCUCAGGAGUAUGUUUGCUUGCUACGUUUUCACUGGCCUACUCGUAGCAAUGCAACUUACUGGUAGUACUAAGGGGGUGUUUAAUUAGAUGUAAUUACAAAUAUAGUAUAGUUAAAGAUUGAUGUAGUUGAAAAUACAGCAAUUACAACUAUACGCAUUUUGUUUGGUUGAAUGUAAUAGAAAGCGCUGCAACUAUAAAUAAUUUGUUUGGUUGUAUGCAGUUUAGAAAUAAUUUUUAAAAUAUUUUUUGUUUUAAAAAAAUAUUUUUUGUUUAAAAAAUAUUUAGGGAUGUAAGCUUACCAUUUGCUUAAAGUUAUUACACUUGAAACUACGGUCAAUUUGAGUGUAGUUCCAACUAUUGCAGUUGGGCCUCCUCCUGUAAUUCCUAUUGCGGCAGUUGGAGUUAAAUACAUUAAAUCAAAUAUCGAAUUUGUACUUGUAUACAAUUACAACUGUAGUACAGCUAUAACUAUGUGCAACCAAUGGUCCCUAAGUGCAGAAGUGGCAUUAAAGGGCUGCCUUGGGGAACUGUGUUAUUGCAUCUGAACUACAAUGUGGUUUUAGUAUCAGAAAGCCUAAUACAAUCCGAAAAAAAUUUCAGAAGGAAAAAAUUAUUAUUCGCUUCUAUCUGACGAGAUAUUUUUUAAAGUUAUUUUUACGAACUUGUUUAGUUCUUGAUAUUUUUUUAAUAUGUCGGAAAAUUUUUUUAUGUUUUAUGAUAAAAAUAUGACGUGGUAGGAAUUAAAAUUUUCUAUGAAAUUCUAUAUUCGUAGAAUUUCAGUUGUUAUUUUUUUAAGACAAAUUUGAUUUAGG